rnacentral:sRNA from 2 species
UUCUAGCCCCGAUUGUAGCAAUUGUUUGAGCUCCUUUUUAUUUUUUCUUUUAAAAAAAUAAAAAGAGCGAGUGCGGAAAGCGGGAAAUAGC